rnacentral:piRNA from 1 species
UGUUGCUGGAGCUGCAGACUCAGGU